rnacentral:rRNA from 1 species
AUUGAACGCUGGCGGCAGGCCUAACACAUGCAAGUCGAACGAGUGGCGGACGGGUGAGUAAUGUCUGGGAAACUGCCUGAUGGAGGGGGAUAACUACUGGAAACGGUAGCUAAUACCGCAUACCAUCGGAUGUGCCCAGAUGGGAUUAGCUAGUAGGUGGGGUAACGGCUCACCGAGGCGACGAUCCCUACUUGGUCUGAGAGGAUGACCGGCCACACUGGAACGGAGACACGGACCAGACUCCUACGGGAGGAAGCAGUGGGGAAGAUUGCACGAUGGGCGCAAGCCUGAUGCAGCCAUGCCGCGUGAAUGAAGAAGGCCUGCGGGUUGGAAAGUGCUUUCGGCGGGGAGGCGUUACUCGCAGAGGAAGAACCGGCUAACUCCGUGCCAGCAGCCGCGGUAAUAC